GACGAACGCUGGCGGCGUGCUUAACACAUGCAAGUCGAACGAGGAACUUCCAGCUUGCUGGGGGGGAUUAGUGGCGAACGGGUGAGUAACACGUGAGUAACCUGCCCUGGACUCUGGGAUAACCCCGAGAAAUCGGAGCUAAUACCGGAUAGGACCUUGCACCGCAUGGUGUGGGGUGGAAAGUUUUUUAGGUCUGGGAUGGACUCGCGGCCUAUCAGCGUGGUGGUGAGGUAAUGGCUCACCAAGGCGUAGACGGGUAGCCGGCCUGAGAGGGUGACCGGCCACACUGGGACUGAGACACGGCCCAGACUCCUACGGAAGGCAGCAGUGGGGAAUAUUGCACAAUGGGCGCAAGCCUGAUGCAGCACCGCCGCGUGCGGGAUGACGGCCUUCGGGUUGUAAACCGCUUUUAGUAAGGAAGAAGGGGCUUCGGCCUUGACGGUACUUGCAGAAAAAGGACCGGCUAACUACGUGCCAGCCGCCGCGGUAAUAC
rnacentral:rRNA from 1 species